rnacentral:tRNA from 2 species
GCCGGGGUGGCGUAGUUGGUAGCGCGUCGGACUCAUAGGGUAAUUUUUGGUGGAAAUAUGAUUUUUGUCGAAACUAGUCAUGAGCGCAACAGCCUGCUUUGAGUGUCUGAGACAUCCGAAGGUCGCGGGUUCAAGUCCCGCUCCCGGCA